UAGAUACUCCCUCCGUCCCAAAAUUCUUGUCUUAAAUUUGUCUAGAUACGGAUGUAUCUAACACUAAAACGUAACUAGAUACAUCCAUAUCUAGACAAAUCUAAGACAAGAAUUUUGGGACGGGGGGAGUACUAG
rnacentral:pre_miRNA from 1 species